GCUUGCAUCAUGAUUUACAUUUGAGUGAGUGGCGAACUGGUGAGUAACACGUGGGAAACCUGCCCAGAAGCGGGGGAUAACACCUGGAAACAGAUGCUAAUACCGCAUAACAACUUGGACCGCAUGGUCCGAGUUUGAAAGAUGGCUUCGGCUAUCACUUUUGGAUGGUCCCGCGGCGUAUUAGCUAGAUGGUGAGGUAACGGCUCACCAUGGCAAUGAUACGUAGCCGACCUGAGAGGGUAAUCGGCCACAUUGGGACUGAGACACGGCCCAAACUCCUACGGGAGGCAGCAGUAGGGAAUCUUCCACAAUGGACGAAAGUCUGAUGGAGCAACGCCGCGUGAGUGAAGAAGGGUUUCGGCUCGUAAAACUCUGUUGUUAAAGAAGAACAUAUCUGAGAGUAACUGUUCAGGUAUUGACGGUAUUUAACCAGAAAGCCACGGCUAACUACGUGCCAGCAGCCGCGGUAAUACGUAGGUGGCAAGCGUUGUCCGGAUUUAUUGGGCGUAAAGCGAGCGCAGGCGGUUUUUUAAGUCUGAUGUGAAAGCCUUCGGCUCAACCGAAGAAGUGCAUCGGAAACUGGGAAACUUGAGUGCAGAAGAGGACAGUGGAACUCCAUGUGUAGCGGUGAAAUGCGUAGAUAUAUGGAAGAACACCAGUGGCGAAGGCGGCUGUCUGGUCUGUAACUGACGCUGAGGCUCGAAAGUAUGGGUAGCAAACAGGAUUAGAUACCCUGGUAGUCCAUACCGUAAACGAUGAAUGCUAAGUGUUGGAGGGUUUCCGCCCUUCAGUGCUGCAGCUAACGCAUUAAGCAUUCCGCCUGGGGAGUACGGCCGCAAGGCUGAAACUCAAAGGAAUUGACGGGGGCCCGCACAAGCGGUGGAGCAUGUGGUUUAAUUCGAAGCUACGCGAAGAACCUUACCAGGUCUUGACAUACUAUGCAAAUCUAAGAGAUUAGACGUUCCCUUCGGGGACAUGGAUACAGGUGGUGCAUGGUUGUCGUCAGCUCGUGUCGUGAGAUGUUGGGUUAAGUCCCGCAACGAGCGCAACCCUUAUUAUCAGUUGCCAGCAUUAAGUUGGGCACUCUGGUGAGACUGCCGGUGACAAACCGGAGGAAGGUGGGGAUGACGUCAAAUCAUCAUGCCCCUUAUGACCUGGGCUACACACGUGCUACAAUGGAUGGUACAACGAGUUGCGAACUCGCGAGAGUAAGCUAAUCUCUUAAAGCCAUUCUCAGUUCGGAUUGUAGGCUGCAACUCGCCUACAUGAAGUCGGAAUCGCUAGUAAUCGCGGAUCAGCAUGCCGCGGUGAAUACGUUCCCGGGCCUUGUACACACCGCCCGUCACACCAUGAGAGUUUGUAACACCCAAAGUCGGUGGGGUAACCUUUUAGGAACCAGC
rnacentral:rRNA from 2 species